GCCGAAUCAUGAAGCCCGCUGAACCGGCAAUUCUGGCCGAAACUGGACCAAAACCGGGCCCCUAUCCGGGUCUGCCUAAAACCCUAGUUGUCUCUGCUUUUCUCACCGUCUAUUCCUAUGUAUCAUCAUCACUAAACCCUAGCUUCUCCAGUUUUAAGCGUGUCCUUUUGUACUGUUUGUAAUUGGAGAAAAUGGAAGGGGAUGCAGAAGAGAGGCAGAUUCAAGCACGAUUCGUUACAAAACUGAAAACUCCAUACAAAGUCCCAGCAACUGCCAUUACCAUCCCAGCUAAUCUCACCCGUCUCGGCCUCUCCACCAUCGUCAAUAGCCUCCUCAAAGCCGGGAAUCCUGAUUGGGAGAAUCAACCAUUUGAUUUUCUUAUUGAUGGAGAGCUUGUUCGAAUGUCACUUGAGCAGUUUCUUCUUGCUAAGGGCAUUUCCGCGGAGAAGAUAAUAGAAAUUGAAUACAUUAAGGCAGUUGUCCCUCGGAAACAGGAGGAGCCUUCUUUGCAUGAUGACUGGGUCAGUGCAGCUGAUGGUUCUUGUCCUCGGUUCAUUUUGACAGGGUGCUAUGAUGGUCUUGGAAGGUGAAAUAUAAACAGAAGCUUUGUGUAUCCUUUCUAGACAUUGAACUUCUUUAUGUUUUCUUCUUGCAUUUUCUUGAUUAUUUUCUUCUCAUAAUGUGUUAUGAAAUGAAUUUAUGCCAGGUUUUUUGUUCAUAUUAUUUAGGGUGUGGAAAGCUGCUGGCCUAUGUACACAUAUGCUAGAGGGACACAGUGAUGCAAUUACUUAUGUUAGUAUCAUUUUCUCAGGAGUUAUGAACAAGAAACUAUCAGUUCUUGCUGAAAGUGGCUUUAUUAGCUCUUCUGUGGCUACUUGUUUAAAAAUGGUAUAGUUGCUUUUCUAUAUAAUAUCAAACAAGAAUGAAUACACAGAUUCAUAAUAAACUAUUUAAUGUUAACCAAUCUGUGAUCACUCGUUGAAUAUUGUAUAUAUGGUUUCUUUUCAAGUUUCAUUGAACGUGCUUGUAACUCCAUUCUGAUGAUCAACUGUCUUUCUAGUAAUAAAGAGGAUAAAAUCUGCUCAAUGUAUCUCAUUCCAGUAGCUAAUAUGUAAUAAAUUCAGCAUAUAGCUAUAAUUUUUCAUCUGACUUCAAAAAUUGUUUGUGACAAAAGGUUCUAAAAAUAUAAAGUUUUUUUAUAGCAGGGGAAAUUAUUCUGUCACCAUGCUUUCUACGUUAGUUCCUUAGAUGUGUGGACAUCUAAUUCUUUUCCUUUAUUGUUCUUCUCGAUUAGAUUUGUUUUAAUCAAAAUUUCCUUUUGAUGUUAUUGAUUCUUUUCAUUUCUAGGUUCAUUUUAGUUUUCUUUUAGGCUGUUUAAACUCUAAAUUUAGCUUUGUUUUGUAACAAAAAGGAAAAACUGGUUUUGUCACAUGUUUUGAUAUGGUGAUGUGAAACCUUUCACUGGGAAUUCUGUUCAAUAUGUCUUGAAUCUUCUGCAUGUUUCUUACAUCUUCAGGAUUGGAUAUAUUGGUGAUAAUAUCAUGCACAUUUAUCUUCAUUUGCUUGUUUAUUGAGUGCUCAAUUAUUUGUUUUGUUCAAGUUGUGGUUGACUGAAAGCUGAUCCUUCAUUGAUUGGGUUGUGUCUUGAUGUGUAGCUGAGGAUAGUUUUACGGUAGCCACUGCCUGAAAAGAUCAAACUCUCAGGCUUUGGAAGGUAAUGGGACCAAAAUUACUGUUUUAUAAAAGUGAAGUUGUCCUGUUACUUGGUGCAUUCCCUUUCUCCUGAAAGUUUGAUACAGAAGAACCUGAAAAUUCUCCUGCAAACAUUAGGGCUUUCAAAAUUUUGCGUGGGCAUAAUGCAUCUGUGCAAAGUGUUGCUGCUGAAACUUCUGGAAGCAUGGUCUUUUCUAUCACUUUUGUCCUCGUUGAUACUAAUAUUUUUGUGGUUGACUUUAGAACUUAAGUUCAUUUCUUCCUUGUUUAUGGUUAUUUAUAACUUAGAUUUGUUUGGGUUCUUGGGAUUGUACGAUCAAUUUAUGGAAGACGGAUGAGUAUACAGAAGGUGAUUUAGUGUCAAUUAAGAAGAGAAAAGUGAAAAACAAAGCCAAGGAAUCUCAGUUGGAGGUUUUGGAUGCCUCGAAUCUUCCAUUUGUUUGCCACAUACUUAUGCUUGUCUCACUUGUUUCCAAAGCUUUCGAUAACAAACAAAAUUUCUUCAUGGGUCAAUAACAACUUAACUUGAGUGGGUUUGAGUGGGUUUGACUCUGAAACAAGAUGGCGUUGAUACGUCUAUGUGUGUUCCCUCGUGGGAAAAAAAUCAUUUGCUGAGACAGAAAUAAAGAUAUCAAAUUUCUGCCAAGAUAGCUGGAAAUUCCAACCAAUAAAAAUCCCAAUGAACCUAUUUACUGAAACUCAUGAUUCUUAAUUUGUUAAACAUUGCAAACACUUCACAUAAUUCUUUUUAUGAGACAAAAUACUUCUCAUGCUGUGAAAAAGGAAUGGACUAAUUUUAAAUAGUGAAAUAAUGUUCUCAUUUUGGGUUACGUCUUUGUAUUCCCUAGUCAUCAAAGCAUUGUUUCCUUGUAACAGACAUAGAAAAGGCAUUUCCUGUUGAAGAGAACUUGAAAGAUUCUUUCAUCUUUUGGGUGAGGGCAUGCUGUAGGUUGCUUGUAUUCUUUUUGCAUUUGUGAGCUUGAGCUGAGGCUUAAGAAUUUAUCAUUUCUCUCAAUUAUUAUUAUUAUUAUUAUU
rnacentral:misc_RNA from 1 species